GAUGAAGAACGUAGCGAAAUGCGAUAAGUAGUGUGAAUUGCAGAAUUCAGUGAAUCAUCGAAUCUUUGAACGCACAUUGCGCCCUCUGGUAUUCCGGAGGGCAUGCCUGUUCGAGCGUCAUUUCGACCCUCAAGCAUUGCUUGGUGUUGGGGCACCGCCUGUAAAAGGGCGGGCCCUGAAAUCUAGUGGCGAGCUCGCCAGGACCCCGAGCGUAGUAAUUAUAUUUCGUUCUGGAAGGCCCUGGCGGUGCCCUGCCGUUAAACCCCCAACUUCUGAAAAUUUGACCUCGGAUCAGGUAGGAAUACCCGCUGAACUUAAGCAUAUCAAUAAGCGGAGGA
rnacentral:misc_RNA from 1 species